GACGAACGCUGGCGGCGUGCCUAAUACAUGCAAGUCGAGCGCAGGAAGCCGUCCGAACCCUUCGGGGGGACGACGGUGGAAUGAGCGGCGGACGGGUGAGUAACACGUAAAGAACCUGCCCAUAGGUCUGGGAUAACCACGAGAAAUCGGGGCUAAUACCGGAUGUGUCAUCGGACCGCAUGGUCCGCUGAUGAAAGGCGCUCCGGCGUCGCCCAUGGAUGGAUUUGCGGUGCAUUAGCUAGUUGGUGGGGUAACGGCCCACCAAGGCGACGAUGCAUAGCCGACCUGAGAGGGUGAUCGGCCACACUGGGACUGAGACACGGCCCAGACUCCUACGGGAGGCAGCAGUAGGGAAUCUUCCACAAUGGACGAAAGUCUGAUGGAGCAACGCCGCGUGAACGAUGAAGGCUUUCGGGUCGUAAAGUUCUGUUGUAAGGGAAGAACAAGUGCCGCAGGCAAUGGCGGCACCUUGACGGUACCUUGCGAGAAAGCCACGGCUAACUACGUGCCACCAGCCGCCGUAA
rnacentral:rRNA from 1 species